GAUGAACGCUGGCGGCGUGCCUAAUACAUGCAAGUCGAACGGGGAGUAGCAAUACUCUUAGUGGCGAACGGGUGAGUAACGCGUUGGUACCUGCCCCGAAGCGGGGGAUAACGGACCGAAAGGUCCGCUAAUACCCCAUGUGCUCGGUAACGAGUAAAGGUGAAAACCACUUUGGGAGGGGCCUGCGUCCCAUCAGCUAGUUGGUAGGGUAACGGCUUACCAAGGCGAUGACGGGUAGGGGACCUGAGAGGGUGGCCCCCCACAAUGGAACUGAAACACGGUCCAUACACCUACGGGUGGCAGCAGUAGGGAAUAUUGGUAAUGGGCGCAAGCCUGAACCAGCAACGCCGCGUGUGCGAUGACGGCCUUCGGGUUGUAAAGCACUUUUGACUGGGACGAGGAAGGACGGUACCGGUCGAAUCAGCCUCGGCUAACUACGUG
rnacentral:rRNA from 1 species